AUGGCAAAUACUGUAUCUUCCUGCACCACAGCAGCAAGUCCUCCCAUGCUUUGGGGAAGAGCAGAUGUGGAUGCUGUGCUAAUGAUCUUCAUUUGGGAGAAGACAUAUCCAGGAAGGCAAAUUUCCUUCCGCCCUACUGAAGCAGAAAACUGCCCCGGAGAUGCUUCCAGAGAACGAGAUGGAUGCAAUUCAAAAGGCUGUUGCAGGUGCUUUCUCAGCAGCCCACCAGCCUGGAACGGAGUCACUGCAUCCACUGGGAACUGA
rnacentral:lncRNA from 1 species